UCCCCGAUAGAUCACAGUGCCUGGAAUGGCCUGUGGUUCAAAUGAUUUAUCGCCGUAGGAUGGGACUGCGGCCUAUCAGCUAGUUGGUGAGGUAAUGGCCCACCAAGGCUAUAACAGGUACGGGCUCUGAGAGGAGGGGCCCGGAGAUGGGUACUGAGACACGGACCCAGGCCCUAUGGGGCGCAGCAGGCGAGAAACCUUUGCAAUGUGCGAAAGCACGACAAGGUUAAUCCGAGUGUCUCCUGCUAAAGGAGUCUUUUGCCGGUCAUAGAACCACCGGUGAAUAAGGGGUGGGCAAGUUCUGGUGUCAGCCGCCGCGGUAAAACCAGCACCUCGAGUGGUCAGGAGGUUUAUUGGGCCUAAAGCAUCCGUAGCCGGCUGCUCAAGUUUUCGGUUAAAUCUAUGCGCUUAACGUAUAGGCCGCCGAAAAUACUGGGCAGCUAGGGAGUGGGAGAGGUACACGGUACUCAAUAGGAAGGGGUAAAAUCCUUUGAUCUAUUGAUGACCACCUGUGGCGAAGGCGGUGUACCAGAACACGUUCGACGGUGAGGGAUGAAAGCUGGGGGAGCAAACCGGAUUAGAUACCCGGGUAGUCCCAGCUGUAAACGAUGCAGACUCGGUGAUGCCUUGGCUUGUGGCCAAUGCAGUGCCGCAGGGAAGCCGUUAAGUCUGCCGCCUGGGAAGUACGUACGCAAGUAUGAAACUUAAAGGAAUUGGCGGGGGAGCACCACAAGGGGUGAAGCCUGCGGUUCAAUUGGAUCAAACCCCCCGGAAAUCACUAGUGCGGCCGCCUGCAGGUCGACCAUAUGGGAGAGCUCCCAACGCGUUGGAUGCAUAGCUUGAGUAUUCUAUAGUGUCACCUAAAUAGCUUGGCGUAAUCAUGGUCAUAGCUGUUUCCUGAUGUAAAACGACGGCCAGUGAAUUGUAAUACGACU
rnacentral:rRNA from 1 species